rnacentral:lncRNA from 1 species
GCACAUAAAAUUGCAGGACGACCCUGUCCAUGCUAGCUAGCUACCUGCACCAGCUGCGCUAUGAACAUUUUAAUAUACUCUAGCUAGUAACUAGUAAUAAUGAAAAUCAAAGAUAUGGCAGCAGUAGUAUAGUGUCAGGAAUGCAUGAGCUAUGGAUCUUCAUAUCAACUCCUUUCCCACUUUAUAUACCUCAUUCUCUUCUCUCCAUACCUCUCAUUCACUCUCACUCUCUAACCAGUACUACUACUACUACUAUACAACUCUCUCCACCAAUUCCACCUUCAUCUUCCUCAUAUCUCAAUCAUCACAACUCAACAAAAAUAUAUUAGCCAUAUUCAUAUGUUUGUUUGAUUUGUAAAAAAAAAAGAAAGGAUCUUUUGAUUUAGACACACACAAAUUCUAUCACCUUAGGAUGAAAUUAAAUAGAGAUUGUUUAGUCUAAUUAGGAUUUAUUUAGUUAAUUUGUUGAUGUUAAGGUGGGAUCAUCAUCUUCAUGCAUACAUUUGAGUAUGUGGCUGACUCCCUGUAUGCCAUAUACUACUGCGUAGUAUUACUGCUUCAUUUCUAGACUGCAUG